AUUGAACGCUGGCGGCAGGCCUAACACAUGCAAGUCGAGCGGAUGAAGGGAGCUUGCUCCUGGAUUCAGCGGCGGACGGGUGAGUAAUGCCUAGGAAUCUGCCUGGUAGUGGGGGAUAACGUCCGGAAACGGGCGCUAAUACCGCAUACGUCCUGAGGGAGAAAGUGGGGGAUCUUCGGACCUCACGCUAUCAGAUGAGCCUAGGUCGGAUUAGCUAGUUGGUGGGGUAAAGGCCUACCAAGGCGACGAUCCGUAACUGGUCUGAGAGGAUGAUCAGUCACACUGGAAAUGAGACACGGUCCAGACUCCUACGGGAGGCAGCAGUGGGGAAUAUUGGACAAUGGGCGAAAGCCUGGUCCAGCCAUGCCGCGUGUGUGAAGAAGGUCUUCGGAUUGUAAAGCACUUUAAGUUGGGAGGAAGGGCAGUAAGUUAAUACCUUGCUGUUUUGACGUUACCAACAGAAUAAGCACCGGCUAACUUCGU
rnacentral:rRNA from 1 species